CACGCACACAAACUGACAAGCAAACAAUCCCUCCCACACACAGACACACACACAGAGGCUGAGACAGGCGGAGCUGAGGUGUAAGUACCGGGGACUGUCCGGUGAGACUCGGUGUGAGGACCGGGGACUGUCCGGUGAGACUCGGUGUGAGGACCGGGGACUGUCCGGUGAGACUCGGUGUGAGGACCGGGGACUGUCCGGUGAGACUCGGUGUGAGGACCGGGCCAUGUGUGCAGAAGAUGGGGGAAGAAACAAGAGUUUCUCCGCUGAAGAACUUCGUGGCCGGAGGAGUAGGUGGAGCGUGUCUGCUGCUGGCUGGACACCCGCUGGACACCAUCAAGGUGAGGCUACAAACACAACCCAAAGCCUCCUGCACUCAGUAUGUCCUCUACACAGGAACAUAUGACUGCUUCCGCAAGACUGUGUCCAAAGAGGGUAUCCUCGGCCUCUACAGGGGAAUGGGGGCGCCGCUGGCGGGCGUGGCUCCGAUGAUGGCCAUCAGCUUCUUCGGCUUCGGUCUGGGGAAACAGCUCCAGCAGACGGAUCCUGGCCAACUUCUAACGCCCUCUCAGGUCUUCCUGGCUGGAUGUCUGGCAGGCGUCUUCACCACAGUGAUCGUGGCUCCAGGAGAGAGGAUCAAGUGUUUACUGCAGGUGCAGGCGAGCAGCGGUCAGACUCGGUACUCGGGUCCAGUGGACUGUGCGCUCCGGCUCUACAGGGAGCAGGGGCUCCGCGGCGUCUACAAAGGGACGCUGCUCACUCUGAUCAGAGACGUGCCUUCUAAUGGUCUCUACUUCCUCACAUAUCAAUACCUCAAACACUUCCUGACACCUGAGGGUCAAAGUGUUUCUCAGCUGAGCACUCCCAGAAUCCUCCUGGCCGGGGGCGUCGCCGGAAUAUUGAACUGGACGAUCGCUCUCCCCCCCGACGUCCUCAAGUCCAACUUCCAGACAGGUCUGAGUCCACCUGAAGCUCCUUAUACACAACACGUCCUCUGCUGCAUGCACGUUAACUCACCUGGUUCUUCUGCUGAGGGACGACAACCAAAUGUUCAUUAUUAUGCUCAAUACUGAUCUCACCAUGUUCCUCACAUGUUCCUCACAUGUUCUGCUGGUUGUGGAUGUGGGAACUAAUGUCUGAGUCAGUGUCUCUGGACAUGUUCUGGAUCUUCUCCUGCAGUCUCCUGGUGAAAUGUGUGUAACAUGUCAGAGUGAGUCCAUGUGAGGAACCAGCAGGACAAUGUGUGGAAGCUUCCCAGUGAGCGAGUGGACGUGUUGAUGAGGUUUCUAACACGUGACGUGAAACUGGAAGAACACAAACAUCUCAGGAUGAAGAAGAGGAGUCGUUCACGUAGAAGACGAUGAUCAACUUGGAAACACGAGGAGAUUCCAGAUCUUCUGGUGAUGAGGGCCGACUCCUGUGUGGAUGAGCUGUAAACAACAGCUCAUCUUUACACAGCAGAGUUUAUACAUCAUGUCCCGCCUCCUGCUGCUCUACAGGCUCCGCCUCCUGCUGCUCCACAGGCUCCGCCCCUCACCUGGAUGUCCCCACAUGUUCCUGUUUGUGUGAACGAGUCGGACCCAACAACCAGCUGCUGCUUCACACACACCAACUACACAACAUCUGCAGAGGGGAAGUACAGAGGUCUUGUGGACGUCCUGAGAACGCUGCUGCGUGAGGAAGGCCCUAGAGCGCUCUAUAAGGGAUUCAACCCCGUCUUCCUCCGAGCCUUCCCUG